AGAGAAAUCUGAAAAGCAGCCUUGGUGGGCUGGCUUGGCUAGGUCUGGUGCUGGGUCCUUUGCUCCUUAACUGCCUGGCUGGUGGGACAGGGCUGCCUACUCUCUAAAGUCCAGCCAGGCAGAGACAAAGUUCCCCACCGCUUUCUGCGAGCUCCCAUCAGCUCCUGCUCCCGCCUUCCUCCACAUUCCUGCGCUGAACUUGGCGGAGUCCAGCGGCUGGCGUACCUUCCCUGGGCUCCUCCGCUUCGGAGAGCAUGCUGUCGGGGUGCACAGCCACAGGCGCCACCGCCACGGACAUGGACGUGAGGCUGCGAGGCUCCUAGACGAGGCCUUGUUUUAGCAUCAACCCUAGAGUGAGGGGCUCCAAGUAAAAUACCUGAAAGGAAAACAUCCAAUGGAAAGAAAUCUCUGGCUGGAGAGUGUUACAUUCUCCUAUAACUGAGAAAGGACCUUAAGAAAAAAAAAACUCAAAUAUCCAUCUACUUAUCUAUAAAAUGAAGACAAAAGCAGUAUGUGAUUCACAGAUUUGUCUGGUUAUUACAGAUGGCACUAUAAACACAGUGAUUUGAAACUGUAAGUUCUACACACAGGUUGUCACUAACUAUUGCACCUUAUUACAAUAAACUUUGUAAAGGAUACUCUUGCCUUUU
rnacentral:lncRNA from 1 species